GCUGUUUUGGCAGAUUUAGUGCAUUAAAUUUAGAAUUUAAUUAAAUGAAUAAAUAAUCAUACACAGCA
rnacentral:tRNA from 1 species